AUUGCUUCUUGGCCUGUUAGCUAAGAUCAAGUGUAGUAUCUGUUCUCAUCAGUUUAAAAACCCAUUAAGGUUUUAACAGCCUAAAUUUAAAAAUCCAUGUGAAUAUAAAGAAUUUGAUAAAAUUCAACAGUUAUUUAUAAUAGCUCAGCAAAC
ensembl:snRNA U2 U2 spliceosomal RNA